rnacentral:rRNA from 1 species
AUUGAACGCUGGCGGCAGGCCUAACACAUGCAAGUCGAACGAGUGGCGGAGGGGGGAGUAUUGUCUGUGGAACUGCCCGAUAGAGGGGGGUAACUACUGGAAACGGUAUCUAUUACCGCAUACCAUCGGAUGUGCCCAGAUGGGGUUAGAUAGUAGGUGGGGUAACGGCUCACCUAGGCGACGAGCCCUAGCUGGUCUGAGAGGAUGACCAGCCACACUGGAACUGAGACACGGUCCAGACUCCUACGGGAGGCAGCAGUGGGGAAUAUUGCACAAUGGGCGCAAGCCUGAUGCAGCCAUGCCGCGUGUAUGAAGAAGGCCUUCGGGUUGUAAAGUACUUUCAGCGGGGAGGCGUUACUCGCAGAAGAAGCACCGGCUAACUCCGUGCCAGCAGCCGCGGUAAUAC